AUUGAACGCUGGCGGCAGGCCUAACACAUGCAAGUCGAACGAGUGGCGGACGGGUGAGUAAUGUCUGGGAAUCUGGCUUAUGGAGGGGGAUAACGACGGGAAACGGUAGCUAAUACCGCGUACCAUCGGAUGAGCCCAAGUGGGAUUAGGUAGUUGGUGGGGUAAAGGCUCACCAAGGCGACGAUCCCUAGCUGGUCUGAGAGGAUGACCAGCCACACUGGGACUGAGACACGGCCCAGACUCCUACGGGAGGCAGCAGUGGGGAAUCUUCCGCAAUGGGCGAAAGUCUGACCGAGCAAUGCCGCGUGUAUGAAGAAGGUUUUCGGGUCGUAAAGCUCUGUUAUCGGGGAAGCGGUAUCUAAACAGAAAGCCACGGCUAACUCCGUGCCAGCAGCCGCGGUAAUUC
rnacentral:rRNA from 1 species